GCCAGGCACAGUGAUGCACACCUGUAGUCCCAGCAGCUUGGGAGGCUGAGGCAGGAGGAUUAUGAGUUGAAAACCAGCCUCAGCAACUUAGCAAGGCCCUGAGCAACUUCACAAGACCCUGUCUCUA
rnacentral:sRNA from 1 species